UACAGAGGGGGCAAGCGUUGUUCGGAAUUACUGGGCGUAAAGGGCGCGUAGGCGGCCUGCUAAGUCGCACGUGAAAUCCCCGAGCUCAACUCGGGAACUGCGUCCGAUACUGGCAGGCUUGAAUCCGGGAGAGGGAUGCGGAAUUCCAGGUGUAGCGGUGAAAUGCGUAGAUAUCUGGAGGAACACCAAUGGCGAAGGCAGCUCGCUGGGACGUUACUGACGCUGAGACGCGAAAGCGUGGGGAGCAAACAGG
rnacentral:rRNA from 1 species